rnacentral:misc_RNA from 1 species
GAUGAAGAACGUAGCGAAAUGCGACAAGUAAUGUGAAUUGCAGAAUUCCGUGAAUCAUCGAGUCUUUGAACGCACAUUGCGCCCCCUGGUAUUCCGGGGGGCAUGCCUGUCCGAGCGUCAUUGCUGCCCUCAAGCACGGCUUGUGUGUUGGGCCCCGCCCCCCGGCUCCCGGGGGGCGGGCCCGAAAGGCAGCGGCGGCACCGCGUCCGGUCCUCGAGCGUAUGGGGCUUCGUCACCCGCUCCGUAGGCCCGGCCGGCGCCCGCCGGCGACCCCCCUCAAUCUUUUCAGGUUGACCUCGGAUCAGGUAGGGAUACCCGCUGAACUUAAGCAUAUCAAUAAGCGGAGGA